rnacentral:misc_RNA from 1 species
AACGCAUAUUGCGCCCGCCAGCCAUUCUGGCGGGCAUGCCUGUCCGAGCGUCAUUUCAACCCUCGAGCCCACCUCUCCCCGGGCUCGGCGUUGGGGAUCGGCCGAGGCCCCUCGCGGGCGUGCGGCCGGCCCCGAAAUCCAGUGGCGGUCUCACCGUGGGCUCCUUUGCGUAGUAGAUGACACCUCGCAACUGGAACGCGGUGCGGCCGCGCCGUAAAACCCCCGACCAUCAAUUCUGGAGGUUGACCUCGGAUCAGGUAGGAAUACCCGCUGAACUUAA